rnacentral:tRNA from 1 species
GCCCAGGUAGUAUAGAUCGGUUAGUAUCUCCGGCUGUCACCCGGAGGGUCGCGGGUUCAAGUCCCGCCCUGGGCG